rnacentral:tRNA from 1 species
GACGAUUCUCUAGCUCAGUGGUUAGAGCGAUGGUCUUAUGAGCCAUAGGUCGUAGGUUCGGCCGUCGCACAGCAAGCGUCG